GAUGAACGCUGGCGGCGUGCCUAAUACAUGCAAGUCGAGCGAACGGACGAGAAGCUUGCUUCUCUGAUGUUAGCGGCGGACGGGUGAGUAACACGUGGAUAACCUACCUAUAAGACUGGGAUAACUUCGGGAAACCGGAGCUAAUACCGGAUGAUAUUUUGAACCGCAUGGUUCAAAAGUGAAAGACGGUCUUGCUGUCACUUAUAGAUGGAUCCGCGCUGCAUUAGCUAGUUGGUAAGGUAACGGCUUACCAAGGCAACGAUGCAUAGCCGACCUGAGAGGGUGAUCGGCCACACUGGAACUGAGACACGGUCCAGACUCCUAUGGGAGGCAGCAGUAGGGAAUCUUCCGCAAAGGGCGAAAGCCUGACGGAGCAACGCCGCGUGAGUGAUGAAGGUCUUCGGAUCGUAAAACUCUGUUAUUAGGGAAGAACAUAUGUGUAAGUAACUGUGCACAUCUUGACGGUACCUAAUCAGAAAGCCACGGCUAACUACGUG
rnacentral:rRNA from 1 species